GAUGAACGCUGGCGGCGUGCCUAAUACAUGCAAGUCGAGCGAACAGACGAGGAGCUUGCUCCUCUGACGUUAGCGGCGGACGGGUGAGUAACACGUGGAUAACCUACCUAUAAGACUGGGAUAACUUCGGGAAACCGGAGCUAAUACCGGAUAAUAUAUUGAACCGCAUGGUUCAAUAGUGAAAGACGGUUUUGCUGUCACUUAUAGAUGGAUCCGCGCCGCAUUAGCUAGUUGGUAAGGUAACGGCUUACCAAGGCGACGAUGCGUAGCCGACCUGGGAGGGUGAUCGGCCACACUAGAACUGAGACACGGUCCAGACUCCUACGGGAGGCAGCAGUAGGGAAUCUUCCGCAAUGGGCGAAAGCCUGACGGAGCAACGCCGCGUGAGUGAUGAAGGUCUUCGGAUCGUAAAACUCUGUUAUUAGGGAAGAACAAAUGUGUAAGUAACUAUGCACGUCUUGACGGUACCUAAUCAGAAAGCCACGGCUAACUACGUG
rnacentral:rRNA from 1 species